GUCCCAGUGAAGAUCCCAAGACCUACCGAUAGGAAGUGCCGUUUGACACUGCAAACAGCAGCUGCCUCUCUCAGCUGCAGGUGUUCCAUCCUUUGACCAUAACCUUUGUGGUUUGGUCAGGCUGGAGCUCCCAUCUGCAGCUGUUUGUUUCAGCUGUGGUGUGUGAUUUUAAUCGGGUCUCUGAGGGAC
rnacentral:snoRNA from 7 species